CCCUUUUCCAGAUUAAUGUAAAUACUUAUGAUUGGUUAGGCAUUAAGCAGUUACUGAAUGUUUACUACUGGUAUGCAUGAUACAAUAACUACAGUCUAAUGAGAAUAUGCAUAUUUCAUGUGUUUCCAAAAUCUAUUUUUAAAUAGUUAGUUAAUUUAUAUUCUUUACUUGUGUCAUGAUCUCCUCUAGGUGUUCUACAUGUAUGAAGUUAUUUAAUACUUUUAACAACUUUAUGAGAAUGCUGAAAGAAUGAAAUGGACGCAUGUCAGCCCAAAGACAUAAAGCGAAAGAAACCACUUCAUGUCCAGAAGCAUGUCCUAGAAGACAACUGCUAAAGACAAGGGAGUAGUAAAGAAAAGAAAAAAAAAAAAAAGAAGAAGGAAAAAAAAGUCUUCAAAGCAAAUGAAAAGAAACAGACAGUUCUUCAAAACAAGAGAGGAAAUUGGAAAAAGAACAUUUGUGGAAGAAAAAAAGCAUGUGGAAUUUCUCUAAACAGAAGAUGGAAUGAUCUAUUUUACCUGAAGAGAGUGGAAGGAUCAAGGAAAGGUCUGUAAGAGGGUGAAGGUAUAUGGCUUAUAUCCUGAGGAAUCUUUCCAAGUAUAAAAGACGGGGAAAGACUCUUUAGUCAAAGGGAAAUUAUAGACAUACCUUGUUUUAUUGCACUUUGCUUUAUUGUGCUUCACAGGUAUUACAUCUUUUACAGAUUGCAGGUUUGCGGCACUCCUGAAUUGAGCAAGAUCAUCAACACAUUUUACUAACAGCAUGUGCUUACUUGGUGUCUCUGUGUCAUAUUUUAGUAAUUCUCGUGAUAUUUCAUUGCUUUCUAUAUUAUUGUAUCUGCUGGAGUUAUUGGUGAUAAGUGGUCUUUGAUGUGACUAUUGUAAUUGUUUUGGGGCACCUCAACUGUAUCCCUAUGAGAUGGCAAAUUUAAUCAAUAAGUGUUGUGUGUCUUCUGACUGCUCUACCAACAAGCCAUUAUUCAAUCUCUUUCCCUGCCUUCAGGCCCCCCACCAAUCUCUGUAAUACAACAAUAUUGAAAUUUGGCCCCUAAGUGUUCAAGUACAAGGAAGAGUCACACAUCUCUCACUUUAAAUCA